ACAACCGAUUCAUUUCCGAUUCCCAUAUCUCUGAUCCCCUUAUCCGCCGAACCCAUAAUUGCCGAUGGGUGAUGCUCCUACGUCUCAUACCACUUAUUCAAGGAAUUGGGAGUAUGAAUCGGUGGAAAUUAAUGGGGAAUCUGGCGUCCCGUCCAUGGAAGCAGUAACCAUGUCUUAUGUGGCCUUCUUUGAGUGGGUGGCGCCGAAAUUAGAGUCCAUGGUGCCGAAAACUCAUUUUACAACCAUGGUGAGUGAUGCCCUCUCCGAUUCUAUACCGACGACUGAAUCUCAUGAAUAAUACACUCUGGUGACUGAAUCUUUUGUAGAAUCCACUCCGACGACUGGAUUUGUUGAGGAGUGGUUUCCGACGACUAGAUCUAUUGAGAAAUCAGUUUCGCCUGCUGAUUCUCUACGUUUGAAGGUCCCGAUGAAUCUCUCUUCUAUUGACGGUUCCAGAAACUGGAUCUAUUGAGAAAACAGAGUUAUUUGACUUUUCGCAGUACGAGAGAAAAAAAUACACAAAGUGGGUGGGCAUUUCGGAAUCUGUGAUGCCAGAAAGUGGCUACGAUGUGUGGGUGGCAACCGGUGGCCCCAUCCUUGAUGAAGAGCCACCGUCGUUUGUGAGAACGGAGAAGCUGGCCUGUGCGCACCGCCCCCGCCGUCUGCAAACCCUAGGAAUUUUAUUUCCUAAUGUGUUAUCUCUGAGCUAAUGAGGCUUUGUGGACCAAGGGGAUUAGCACUGCUUUCCCAAGAUGAGUUUAUGUGAUUAUGAUCUUCAGGCUUUGCCUAUCCAGGUUGGCUGGCCGGUGCUGACGGGACUGAGCUGAGGCUAGGGUUCAAAUUCUAUAUAGACUUCCGCUGUAGUAAUAACUCUUAUACAUCUUUUGUUUUCUCAACUUAAGAUGACUUCAUGUUGAGCUUCAAUUUAAAAUUUCUAGUUUUAUGUUAAUGAACGUCGAUUGUCAGAAACAUGAAACAAAACUUGUGAUCCAAAGGGGCCUAGCCCGACUCGUUAUCUUAUUUUUCGGAUUUUAACAAGGUUGUUCCUUGUUUAUUUCUAUGAAUUAGUUGCACCUCGAUUAUUUUUAUUCA